CGACCAAGAUUUCCACUGGACCAUGAAGAGGGGCCAAGAGGAGGUAUGUUUCGCAUUGGCGCGACCUGCUUACCAACAAGCUCAACGCCCAAGGCGCAUUAGGCCAAGAUUCGUUGGGAAUAACUUAAUGUGAUUUUCUAUCAAGAUACACGUUCUGUAAGUUGACAAGUUGUUGUUUCCAAGCAAGAAGAUAAAUGGAUUUGUGAAAACUAUAAGCAGGCCUUCACAUUGCGCUUGCCACUACCUUUAUUAGACCUUAUUAUGCCAGUUGUCCUGUUACUUGCUUCGCUACUCACCACCGUUUCAUGGGAUCUGUCUGUUGGAAGAGAGAAGAAGCACGAAGAAUUUUUCAAGUUGUGUAAAGGCCAAAGGCUAUGGGACGAUUUAAUUGUGAAUAAGUUGCAACCCGCUGUACAUAAGCUCGGUUCAUUUGUUUUUAGUGGCUUUUAAAAUAAUAGCAGACAUGUGCAACAAAAAUGGUGGUAUUGUAUUUAAUAUGAUGGAAUACAAAUCGUCACAUGAUA